AGUCAUAGAAACAAAUACAUGGUGUUUCAGAGUGGUAAUGCCGGUGGCCGUAGCUGUCUACUGGACGGUCCUAAAGGAUGAGGAGUUCACUGGCCAAGAGAAACGGCAUUUAGGCAGAAGAACUGCAAGUUAAAAGGGAAAGAAAUCUAAAGGCUGACAGGAACAGUGAGACUCAAACACUGUAACUUUGGAGUUAGGGCUUCAGUCUGUGAAUGGGACUCAGGUAUAAAAACAUUCAGUUUGCCGGGCAGUGGUGGCGCACGCCUUUAAUCCCAACACUUGGGAAGCAGAGGCAGGCGAAUUUCUGAGUUCAAGGCCAGCCUGGUCUACAAAGUGAGUUCCAGGACAGCCAGGACUAUACAGAGAAACCCUGUCUGGAAAAACAAAACAAAACAAAAAAACAUUCAGCUUGCCAGCCAGUGGUGAUGCACGCCUUUAAACCCAGCACUCAGGAAGCAGAGGCAGGCAGAUCUCUUGAGUUUGAACCCAGCCUAGUAUACAGAGUGAAUUCCAGGACAACCAAGGUUACACAGAGAAACCCUGUCUUGAAAAACCAAAAAAAGAAAAAAAGAAGGGAAUGCCACCAAGAGAAAGAUGUGUUAAUGUGCUACCUAAGAGCAGUUGAGAGAUGAGGGAUGAGGGCUGAACCAGCGCAGUUUGGGAGCUGUUGAGGUACCUGAGGCCCUGGGUGUGUGGUUGCCUAUGGAUACUGAGCCCUGGUGUUUGAAUGACUAGUUCCAGUACUUGGGAGAGACAUUAUCAUUUCAAGGCUAUCUUGAGUUGCAUGGCUACUUUGAGGCCAGUCUAGACUACAUGAAACCCUUUCUCCAAAAGUUUAAUCGCCAAGAGAAGAUAUGUAAUAAAAAAAAAAAAAAAAAAUGGGCCAUGUGAGGAUGGGAAAAUUGAGAUCAUCUCUGAGAUGGAGGAGGAGGUGAGUGGAUAGAAUCAGAAGUGAAGCUGGACUGUUUGGUUAUCACCUCCAGGAACACUGAGGGAGGCCUUAAUGAGAUGGAGACCUGUGUAGAGGUCCUGUGCUACAGGACCAGGCACCAGCCUUGGGAGAGAACGCCACAGCAGUGGAUCAGGCCUGCAGGGAAGGCACUCUUAAAUGCAGCCAUGGGCACUUCAAUAUUGCCUGAUACUUAAAUCCUUUAUUCCUCAAGCCGGCUGCCUUUCUAUUUUUUUGUAGGGGAGGAGGGGAAGGUAAGGGGGUUCCAGACUGUCCUGGAACUCUGUAGACCAGACUGGCCUUGAGUUUAAAAAUCCACCUGCCUCUGCCUUCCAAGUGCUGAGAUUAAAGGUUUUUGCGGCCACUGUCCUAUUUUCUAUUGAAAACAGGCUUACGAAACAUAGACAACUUGUCCAAUUUUGAAAGCUGACUAGUGUUCAAACCUAGCUCUCUCUGGUUUUGGAUUUUUGUUUUUAAAGAUUUAUUCAUUUAUUAUAUGUAAGUACACUGUAGCUGUCUUCAGACACUCCAGAAGAGGGCGCCAGAUCUCGUUACGGAUGGGUGUGAGCUACCAUGUGGUUGCUGGGAAUUGAACUCAGGACCUUCGGAAGAGCAGUCAGUGAUCUUAACCGCUGAGCCAUCUCUCCAGCCUGAUUUUUGUUGGUUUUAAAGACAGGGACCCAGUCCUGACUGUCCUAGAACUUGCUAUGUAGACCAGGCUGGACUCUGCUUACAAAGUGCUGGGAUCAAAGGCAAGUGCAGCCACACCUUGCUGCUCUGUCUUGACCCUAUCCAGUCUGACAGUACACAGAGGCAAACUCUGAAAGGGACCGUGUUCUGCCAAAACUUGAGAUAGUGUUGGAAGCUGGGCAGAUAACAAAAUGCAUAAGGCCCACCAGAAGAUAAAGAUGUUUAUUACAGGUGGGGCUGAGGUGUUAAGCUCAUGUGCCGGGUCACAGCACUCCCAGAGCCUGAAGCAGGUGGAUCUCCGAGUUUGAAGCCAGCCUGGUCUACAGAGCAAGUUCCAGGACAGCCAGGACAACACAGAGAAACCCUGUUUCAAAACAAAACAAAAAGGUUCAAGUUGUACUAGACAAUUUUAAAAAGUUUGGCUCUUGGGAGGAAAGAAAAACGACUAGAAGGUGUGACGUGGAGGAUGCCACAAGCAGGAAGGAAGACAUUGAAGGAAUGAGCUGUGUUUUGUAAGCGGCGCCUUUUGAAAUUUAGUCCAACAGCAUCAGAGCAGUGACACAGAGGAACGUAGGAAUGCAGAAAGGGGAAUUAAGGAAUGCGAGGAUUCUACAAGGAAAAGGAGGAAGUGGCUGAUUAUUAAAGGAGGUGGAUGUAGGUUCCAAAGCUCAAGUCUCAAGAUUGCUGUGGCUGGAGAGAGAAGUGCUUAGCAGAAACACUGAUGACGAAUCGUCUGAAAAGGUCCAGCCGUAGGUGAAGAAACGCGAGGGUGCUACUUAAGUUGCUAGGAGGGCCGGGCUGGGUUGCCUCACUGAGUAGUAAAUCCGGCGUAACAUCGCUUCCAGGAGGGGUUAGAAAGGAGACAAAUGAUAUAACUAAUCGAGAUGAGGGAUUAUAAUAACUCAGAAUGCCUUCGUGGCGCUUGCCAUGACCUCACUGGUUCCUCUGCACGUCCCUGGGAGAUAGUUCACAAAUCUGCCCGCAGCACAGCAGGCCAUGGCGGACCGGGACGCUAGACGACUCUAGGCGAACGACUCCGAAGACGCUGGGGUUGAUUUUCCUAGUUUCCGGUGCGAUGGCUGGGCCACGGCAGAUACGCGCGGCUGGCUGGAACGCUCCCGGCGACACCAAAGCUAAACUGGAAAACUCAAAACCAGCGCUCCCGGGAGGCCAAAGGUGCGCGCCUCCGUUUGAACCAAUCCCCUGAAGCGAUCUUUGUCACUUAACCCAAUAAGCGCCGGUCUUCGGCCACCUCCUAUCAAUCCACCAUGUGAUUGGUUCGCCUUUCUGUUCCCGGCGUUGCCCCAGCAACCGGGCUAUGGACGCGUAGGGGCCUCCAGGCUGCUAAAUCACAAACCCUGGGGUUCUUCCUUCAUCUACCCUGCGGGUUUCCGGCACUAUGUCGGUUCGGACUCUGCCGCUGCUCUUUUUGAACUUGGGCGGGGAGAUGCUUUACGUCCUAGACCAGCGACUGAGGGCCCAGAACAUCCCCGGAGACAAGGCCCGCAAAGAUGAAUGGACAGAGGUGGACAGAAAACGAGUUCUGAACGACAUCAUUUCAACCAUGUUCAACAGGAAGUUCAUGGACGAACUGUUCAAACCCCAGGAGCUGUACUCCAAGAAGGCCUUGCGGACUGUGUAUGACCGCCUGGCUCAUGCCUCCAUCAUGCGACUGAACCAGGCCAGCAUGGAUAAGCUCUACGACCUGAUGACCAUGGCUUUCAAAUAUCAAGUGCUGCUGUGUCCACGCCCCAAGGACGUGUUGCUGGUCACUUUCAACCACUUAGACGCCAUCAAGGGUUUUGUCCAAGACUCUCCCACCGUCAUACAUCAGGUGGACGAGACCUUCCGGCAGCUGUCAGAAGUGUAUGGGAAGCUCUCUGAAGGGGAGUUCCAGCUGAUCCGGCAGACACUGCUCAACUUCUUCCAAGACCUGCAUAUCCGAGUGUCCACAUUUCUAAAGGACAAAGUUCAGAACUCUAAUGGUCGCUUUGUGUUGCCAGUGUCGGGGCCUGUUCCCUGGGGAACUGAAGUUCCUGGAGUCAUUAGGGGCCCUGGGACCCAUGGUCUUGCGCAUGCUGAGCAGGUGUGCUGAGCUUCACUUCCAACCUAGGGCCUUUCUCUCAAAAGAGGGACUAAAUUCCUUUUUGUCCUGCUGUGGGCAAAUGAUAAGUUGGCCUGGAGACUGCCCCAACCUAGAGAAGACCCCAUCAUGUCACACUGUGCAUUUCAGAGUGUUCAGUGUCAAAGGCAAAGAGGUGAAGAAGAUGAAAUUCCGGCAUGGCGGAGACUAUGUUGCUGCCCAGAAGGAAGGUUCUUUUGAGCUUUAUGGAGACCGAGUCUUGAAACUGGGAACUAACAUGUACAGUGCGAGUCGUCCUGUGGAAACCCACAUGUCUGCAACAUCCAAGAACGCAGCCUCCAGGGCACAGGAAAACAUUGUUCCAAACCCUCUUGCCAAAGAAGAGCUGAAUUUCUUGGCCAGGCUAAUGGGAGGGAUGGAGAUCAAGAAGCCGAGUGGCCCUGAACCAGGAUUCCGACUGAAUCUGUUUACGACCGAUGAGGAAGAGGAACACGCAGCACUGUCCAGGCCGGAGGAGUUGUCCUAUGAAGUCAUCAGCAUACAGGCUACACAGGACCAGCAACGGAAUGAGGAGUUGGCCCGGAUCAUGGGUGAGUUUGAGAUCACAGAGCAGCUGGAGCAGAACACCAGUAAGGGAGACGACUUGCUGGCCAUGAUGGACAGGUUAUAGAUGCAGAUGGGCACGCCCUAGCCCUCCCUCAAGAGACUGCCUUAGACCACCCUGGACACGGAUGGCUGGGGAUCUCAUGUGCCCCUGCUGGAUUCCAACCAAGGCCUGCACCUUCUAGUCCAUUUUUAAGUCAGAAAAAAACUGUGACGACCUCUCGGAGAGCAUCCAUUUCUGAAGCCACACACAUUUCUGUAUUUUCAGCAAAAUAUAUUCUUGCUCUUAACCCAGACCUUCCCCAUUAUUCUCAACUCAAUGAUGACUAUGGGCGCCUCCUGGGCCAUUGCGGGUUUUCCACAGCGUCUUUCCUGCAGGGACCAGCGUCCUAUGCGUGCCUGUAAGGACAAAAGAGCAACACCUGAAAACACAGGAGGGGGAUCCAGGCCAUUCUGGCUGCAUAACAAGAUAGAUCUUUUAAAAAACCAAAACCAAAACAAAACAAAAAAAAGUUUGGGGACUCGGGGAGUAAAUGCACUAGCCAUGUACACUUGGUGACAGAAAUUCGAUUCCUAGAACCUACAUGUCAAAAACCUGCUUUGGGGACUAAAGAAAUGGCUCAGUGGUUAAGAGCACUGGCUGUUCUAUCAGAGGACCUGGGUUCAAUUCCUGGCACCCACAUGGUGGCUCACAACCAUCUUUAAUGGGUUCUUUUAUUGUUGUCAUUGUUUUGUUUGUUUUGUUUUUCAAGACAGGGUUUCUCUGUGUAACUCAGGCUAGCCUCAAACUCAGAGAUCCACCUGCUUCUGCCUCCCAAAGGGCUAGGAUUAAGGCGUGCGCCGCCACCGCCUGGCUGUAACGGGUUCUGAUGCUCUCCCCCGGCAUUCAGGCAUACAUUCAGACAGUGGAUUCAUACAUAAAAUGCAUAGAUACAUACAUGAAUAAAGUGUUGUGGCAAAGUGAUGAGCACACAUCCGUAAUCUUAGCACUUCUACUGAAAGGAAAACUGUCUGGAACCUUGCAGGCCAGCUCACCUGAGGAUUGCAGUAUAGCCACAGAAACCAGAGCCUCAGGAACCAACUCAAGUUUGAGAUCAGCCUAAGCUAUAGGAGACCCUCUCUCUCAAAAGAACAAAGAAAGAAAGGAAGGAAGGAAGGAAGGAAGGAAGGAAGGAAGGAAAGAAAGAAAGAAAGAAAGAAAGAAAGAAAGAAAGAAAGAAAGAAAGAAAACAAAUAAACAAACCUGGGGCUAUGGCUCAGUGAACAAUGUCCAGCAGAGGAAUGAAGACCCAAGUUCAGGUCCCAGAACAUACAAGAAGCCAGAUGCUAUGGCACAUGUUUGUAACCUCAGGAUCCUACAGGGAGAUUUGAAACAGAGAUAAGAGAAUCCCUAGAAGCUCCCAGGCCAGCUAGCCAGGCAUCGUUCACACCAGCAAACCAGUGAUCCUGUCUCCUGUCUCAAGAACACCUUCCACAUAUGUGCUAUGGCACACACGUAUCCACACUUACUACACACACACACACACGAGAGAGAGAGAGAGAGAGAGAGAGAGAUUCAAAGAUUAAAUUUAAUCUAAGAAAAUUAGUAAAAAUUCUGAGGAGAGUUCUGUUCAGCUUGCUUUACAGGUAAGUUUGAAAUCAGAGUAAAGGGCAGUCACUUCAGUGUGUAACUAGUGUCAACUUGAUGCUAGCUUGAGUCACUUAGAGACCAGAGCCUCAGUUGAGAAAGUGCCUCCUUAAAAUCAGGCUGUAGGCAAGCCUGUAGGGCAUUUUCUUAAUUAGUGAUUGAUGGGGAGGGCCCAGCCCAUUGUGGGUGGGGCCAUCCCUGGGCUGGUGGUCUUGGGUUUUAUAAGAGCAGGACAGGAAGCAGCACCCCACCACAGCCUCUGCAUCAGCUUCUGCCUCCAGGUUCUCUGGCUCUGUUUGAGUUCCUGUCUUUUGAUGAUGAACAGUGACAAUAAGCCAAACGAACCGUUUCCUCCCCAACUUGUUUCAGUCAUGGUGUUUCCUCACAGUAGAAACCCUAAGACAGUUUGUCAUGGCUCAGUUUAGAAGGCCUCCAACCCUCUCCCCUAACACAUUGGGCGUCGUCACCUCCGAGAGGCAGGGUAACCCAGGCAAGGACAAGACAGGCUUGAGAGGCCCAGGGAGAGCACCUGGGGGUCAGAUGUUUGUUCUUCCAAGCAUGUUCUCCUCCGAGUCUACCUUUAUCACCAAAGGCAUCCGUUUGCUGUUACAUCUGUAUCCUGUACCAUCAAACACCAGGCAGGGCCUUAGGCUGGGUGCCUAGGAGGUGUAUGUGAUGUGCCUCCCCCAGGGACUCACAUGAACUGCCUCAGGUCAGGGCUGCCUGAGAUAGUUCAGAAAAGGCCAGGAGGCCUGUCCUACAUGCUCCCUCCUGGGACCAGUAACCUUGUGUACCCUCAGGGCCAGCCAACUGUCAGAGGUCAGAGUCCAUUCCUAUGAGAGAAAUAUCUGAAUGGCACAGGUGGCAGAGAACCACAACUGAUUAAGGCCACUGUGUGAAACGGGGUCAGCUUGAAGGACCACUGAGGUCACACCCCAUAGGAAGUGUGAAGAUAUGGUUUUGGAAUUCGAGAUCAGGGAACCUGCCCUUUGGCCUUUGACACAAGGCAUAGUUUCAAUCCUGAAAGGUAAGUCAUCAGAUAAAUUCGCUAUCUCUCACCCAUCGAAGAAAUCCCUUAACCACCAGGUAUGUCCAACCUUUUGAAAUUGCCACAAAGUUCAACAACUGCACAAUUGAGGGUUUGUUUGUUUUUUGGUUUUUUUUUUUUUUAAUCAUGAUUUAGCUGGGCAGAGGGCCAUACACCUUUAAUCCCAGUACUCAGGAUGCAGAGGCCAUGAGGCCUGAGGCCUGAGGAUCUCUGAGUUCGAGGCCAACCUGGUCUACAGAGUGAGUUCUAGGAUAGCCAGGGCCACACAGAGAAACCCUGUCUUGAAAAUAAAUAAAUAAAUAAAUCCAACAACAUCCUCCCCCCAACCAAAACAACAAAAAAUAUGCUCUUGUUUGUUUUGAGGCAAUUCAUUAAGACAGGAAAUGGGGCAUACACUGGCUGGGCCUCUGGAAGAGCAAUCAGUGCUCUUAACCACUGAGCCAUCUCUCUAGCCCUUUGCUUUUGUUUUUGUGUUUGUUUGUUUGUUUGGGUUUUUUUGUUUGUUUGUUUUUUUGAGACAGGGUCUCACUAUGUAGCUCUGACUGUCCUGGUACUUACUAUGUGACCAUGCUGGCCUGGAACUCACAGUGAUCCGCCUGCUUCUGCCUCUCAAGUACUAGGAAUAAAGGUGUGUGCUACCGAGAGCAGCUAAAUUUACAACUCUGUGUUGGGCUGCAUUUAUGGCUAUUCUGAGUCACAAGUAUCCCCUGGGCUGCAGGCUAGACCCACCUGUUUCUGCUGGAAAAGAAACUUCAACUGCCUUAAAUUGCCUGCUACAAAUAUACCACGUGAACUCUGUUUAGCCUCCAAGCUAUCUGGCCCACAGCUGGGGACUGACUGGGGAAAGGGAGGGGAAGGUUCUGUGAUGCUCCAUACUGUCACAGACGUAGACUUCACUGUCAUCUGGGACUGGAUCUAGGAGAUGGGCCACCCUUGCCCAGAAACCACGGCCUCCUCCCUCCACUCGCCCUGCAGAGAUGCGAACUAUCUGAAACAUACCUGUCCUCCUCUGUAAAUAAACAAGAGAUACACAUCUG